GCAUAACUGUAAUAGAAAAAACAUGAUUCCACAAGCAAGCCAUUGAAUUCAAGACCCUGCGUCAUUGUCCAAACAGAGGAAAAAUAAAAACCAGUCUUAGCCUGCAAGAAAAAGCUAAAUGCACUAUAACUCAGUUCUAAACAAAAUCCUCUAACUUCCUUCUUCAUUUACACUCACCAUUAAACUAACAACGUUCUAACUGAUCAUUAUCCAACUAAAUAAUUAUUUCCUAACUUCCUAACUACCUGUAAUAGAAAGCAAACAACAUAAAAUAAUUGAGAUUGUGUAUAAAAGCAUCACUACAACAUUCACUCUCUCACUUUUCUUACUCACACAAAAAUUCUCAAUCACUGAAAACAAAAUCGUCUUCUCAACUCACCUUUCAGCAAUCUCAGGAAUUUUCUCACUUUUCUUGAGAUUUCAAAAAUCAUCUCAUUCACAUUUUAUCACCUUCAUCACCCUCUGAUUCUUUCACUUUUCUGAACUCACAUAAAAAUUCUCAAUCACUGCAAAAAGAAUCAUAUUCCUCACUCAUUCUUCACAGAACAAUCAUCAUCCUCUUCACUCCUCUCAAGAAUACUCGUCAAUCCAUAUUUAUCACCAUAUAAACAAUUCUCUCACUUCAGAACCACAACACACGCAUAGAAGAAGAGAAUCGAAGGCACGUAACAGAAGAAGAAGGAGAAGACAAAGAGAAGACACGCGAACAAAGAGAACACAAAGAAGAGUUUCAAGAUUGUACCAGAAGCCAAUGUAUUAUCCUAUAUUCAAGAGUAGUAUUGCUGAAGUAAGUGGACGGUAGCUCACUCGAGAUUUAGCCGGAGAGUUUCCGUGUUUUGUUUUAGAGACUAGGUAGUGAGUCAAUGCUCUGGUUAUGUAACACGGGGUAGAUUAGUAGUAUUGAACUCAUGUCUUAUUUGGAUAUGUAUUAUGUUAUUACUUGUGAACAUGUUUAAUUGCAUUUGCUGUUUGAGAGGCCGUAGUGCCAAAUAUUCUGGAUAUGGUUUUAUUUUAUCUUUAGGAGAUUAUUGAGAGAUGAUCAUGGUAUGGGACAUGGAUCAUUUUAUGAAAUACAUGAGUAUUCAUUAUUUUCCGCUGCGAACGCAUAUUCUUGAAUAUUCAUGAUAAUUGAAAUGUGUUAUUUUAAA